CAGCCGCCGCGGGAAUACGAGGGGGGCAAGCGUUGUUCGGAAUUAUUGGGCGUAAAGGGCGCGUAGGCGGUUUGGCAAGUUUGGUGUGAAAUCUUCGGGCUCAACUCGAAGUCUGCAUCGAAAACUGCCGGGCUUGAGUAUGGGAGAGGUGAGUGGAAUUUCCGGUGUAGCGGUGAAAUGCGUAGAUAUCGGAAGGAACACCUGUGGCGAAAGCGGCUCACUGGACCAUUACUGACGCUGAGGCGCGAAAGCUAGGGGAGCAAACAGGAUUAGAGACCCCGGUAGUCCCUGUCUCUUAUAC
rnacentral:rRNA from 1 species